GUUCAGCAUAAAUUACCACGGCAAUUGAACCUGGUGACAAGUGAUCCACCAUUAUGAUCCAGAAAGCCCUGGGUUGAACCUGAAGUUACCUCGUUAACGCCAAAUCUUGCUUCGUGGUACACGCCCAAGAUCCAGCAAUG